GACGAACGCUGGCGGCGUGCUUAACACAUGCAAGUCGAACGGAAAGGCCCUGCUUUUGUGGGGUGCUCGAGUGGCGAACGGGUGAGUAACACGUGAGUAACCUGCCCUUGACUUUGGGAUAACUUCAGGAAACUGGGGCUAAUACCGGAUAGGAGCUCCUGCUGCAUGGUGGGGGUUGGAAAGUUUCGGCGGUUGGGGAUGGACUCGCGGCUUAUCAGCUUGUUGGUGGGGUAGUGGCUUACCAAGGCUUUGACGGGUAGCCGGCCUGAGAGGGUGACCGGCCACAUUGGGACUGGGAUACGGCCCAGACUCCUACGGGGGGCAGCAGUGGGGAAUAUUGCACAAUGGGCGGAAGCCUGAUGCAGCAACGCCGCGUGCGGGAUGACGGCCUUCGGGUUGUAAACCGCUUUCGCCUGUGACGAAGCGUGAGUGACGGUAAUGGGUAAAGAAGCACCGGCUAACUACGUG
rnacentral:rRNA from 1 species